GUGCUCGCUUCGGCAGCACAUAUACUAAAAUUGGAACAAUACAGAGAUUAGCAUGGUCCCUGUGCAAGGACGACACGCAAAUUCGUGAAUCGUUCCAUAUAAAA
ensembl:snRNA U6 U6 spliceosomal RNA